rnacentral:rRNA from 1 species
AACGAACGUUGGCGGCAGGCUUAACACAUGCAUGUCGAACGCACCGCAAGGUGAGUGGCAGACGGGUGAGUAACACGUGGGGAUCUGCCCAAUGGUACGGAAUAGCUCCGGGAAACUGGAAUUAAUACCGUAUGUGCCCGCAAGGGGAAAGAUUUAUCGCCAAUGGAUGAACCCGCGUCGGAUUAGCUUGUUGGUGGGGUAAAGGCCCGCCAAGGCGACGAUCCGUAGCUGGUCUGGGAGGAUGAUCAGCCAAACUGGGACUGAGACACGGCCCAGACUCCUUCGUGAGACAGCAGUGGGGCAUAUUGGACAAAGGGCGCAAGCCUGAUACAGCCAUGCCGCGUGAGUGAUGAAGGCCUUAGGGUUGUAAAGCUCUUUCGCCGACGAAGAUAAUGACGGUAGUCGGAGAAGAAGCCCCGGCUAACUUCGUGCCAGCAGCCGCGGUAAAAC